GACGAACCGUGCAAACGUUGUUCGGAAUCACUGGGCUUAAAGGGCGCGUAGGCGGUCGACCAAGUCCGGGGUGAAAUCUUUCGGCUUAACCGGAAAAGUGCCUCUGAUACUGUGCGGCUCGAGGGAGGUAGGGGCGGACGGAACUUCCGGUGGAGCGGUGAAAUGCGUUGAUAUCGGAAGGAACGCCGGUGGCGAAAGCGGUCCGCUGGCCCUCUACUGACGCUGAGGCGCGAAAGCCAGGGGAGCAAACGGG
rnacentral:rRNA from 1 species